rnacentral:rRNA from 1 species
AACGAACGCUGGCGGCAGGCCUAACACAUGCAAGUCGAGCGAGGACUUCGGUUCUAGCGGCGGACGGGUGGGUAACGCGUGGUAAUGUGCCCUUCUCUACGGAACCGCCCUGGGAAACUGGGCUUAAUACCGUUUACGCCCUUUCCGGGAAAGAUUUUUCGGAGAAGGAUCAGCCCGCGUUAGAUUAGGUAGUUGGUGGUGUAAUGGCCUACCAACCGGAAGAUCCAGAGCUGGUUGGAGAGGAGGAUCAGCCACAAUGGGAAUGAGACACGGCCCAGACUCCUACGGGAAGCAGGAGUGGGGAAUAUUAGACAAUGGGGGCAAACCUGAUCAAGCCAUGCCGGGGGAGUGAUGAAGGGGUUAGGGUUGUAAAGCUCUUUCAGCUGGGAAGAUAAUGACGGUACCAGCAGAAGAAGCCCCGGCUAACUCCGUG